AGCUCAUAUUUUUAUAUAAAUGUUAUUGUGAUUUACCUUUCUGACUCACAUCAGCUGCUGAAGCAGGGCUGCUUUGUUACAGCAAAACUCAUGUUUAUCAAAGAAUCUGGAAACUUGUGUAUUUAUGAACUUUACUCAUAAUUCAGCCGACAAAACUAAAAGAAAUGAAUCAAUGUGAACCGAACGAGAGCUGCCACAGGACAGAGAAGUGCUGAACAGAGAAUAUGACAAUAAUAUAUCAAUAAUUUAUCUCAAUUACAUCGCUGGAAGCCAAAUUUGUUGUUUAAAUUAAAAUUCUAAACUCAAAGUAACAAAACGUCCAAUUUACAGUGAACACCUCAUCUGUAUCUGACACAGGGCUGAAGAUAUACCACGGGCCUUGAAUGCAGCAGAGCUCUCAUCAGGUAAGCACAGCAAGACACCUGGACUGUGUUUAACGUGGCGUCUGUAUCGAUGCUGCAGGAAGCAGCUUCAACUCUGAGAGAAGAAUCUGAAAGGGUCACAACAAACUCAGGAAAGGUUUCAAUUUUUUGUUCAACAUCAGGAACCAGGAAGAGCAAGUUCUAGUUCUGGGAAGCUCUUCCUCUGAGCAGGAGGAGCCAGUAUCAAACAGAUGGCUCCAAGUUUCUCAGCUCAGUGAACCGACACAGAUCUGCUCACCUCACAGGUUAACAUGACGUCGACAAACAGAUGCUGCGUUGAUGUUAUUGAUGCUUUUGGACCAACAAAACAGCUUUUUACACCUGUACUCGGAGUGAUCUGAUUGGUCAGUAGGUGAUUUUGUUGAUGCCUGGUCUUGAACGCGACCGUCUUCAGCGCAGGUUAGGCCUCGACAGCGAGUUGGCACGACGGUCUCCUGAGAGGCGGGACUUCAGGACUUCUCAGCCUCUGUACGCCGCGCUGAUGAGCCGACGCUCUGACGGCGGUUUCAGCAGAAACACUGAAACCUUAAUAAAUAGACUGUACGAUGUGAUGGCUGACCUGGUGCAGACAUGAACUCCACCUGGUUCCUGUGAGCUGCAGGUAAACACGGUGGACAGCCUUUCCGUUCGUCCUGUUGGGAAUAACUGAGGAAACAAGGAGCGUGCACACUUUCACUUUCACAGAUUGUGGAAUGAAAUAUUUGAAUAAAGGCUUUAAAAUGUGA